rnacentral:sRNA from 1 species
GACGUCGAAGGAACGACGCCGGCCGAGCACGGAUGGCGGCCAGGGAAAGUCGCAGGAAUAAGCGGCUACUUCGUCAGGAUGACGAGCGGACGGAAGGAAGAACAUGAGCGGCGAGGCUAACCCCUCGCCGUUUUUGUU